GACGAACGCUGGCGGCGUGCUUAACACAUGCAAGUCGAACGGAAAGGCCCUGCUUUUGUGGGGUGCUCGAGUGGCGAACGGGUGAGUAACACGUGAGUAACCUGCCCUUGACUUUGGGAUAACUUCAGGAAACUGGGGCUAAUACCGGAUAGGAGCUCCUGCUGCAUGGUGGGGGUUGGAAAGUUUCGGCGGUUGGGGAUGGACUCGCGGCUUAUCAGCUUGUUGGUGGGGUAGUGGCUUACCAAGGCUUUGACGGGUAGCCGGCCUGAGAGGGUGACCGGCCACAUUGGGACUGAGAUACGGCCCAGACUCCUACGGGAGGCAGCAGUGGGGAAUAUUGCACAAUGGGCGGAAGCCUGAUGCAGCAACGCCGCGUGCGGGAUGACGGCCUUCGGGUUGUAAACCGCUUUCGCCUGUGACGAAGCGUGAGUGACGGUAAUGGGUAAAGAAGCACCGGCUAACUACGUGCCAGCAGCCGCGGUGAUACGUAGGGUGCGAGCGUUGUCCGGAUUUAUUGGGCGUAAAGGGCUCGUAGGUGGUUGAUCGCGUCGGAAGUGUAAUCUUGGGGCUUAACCCUGAGCGUGCUUUCGAUACGGGUUGACUUGAGGAAGGUAGGGGAGAAUGGAAUUCCUGGUGGAGCGGUGGAAUGCGCAGAUAUCAGGAGGAACACCAGUGGCGAAGGCGGUUCUCUGGGCCUUUCCUGACGCUGAGGAGCGAAAGCGUGGGGAGCGAACAGGCUUAGAUACCCUGGUAGUCCACGCUGUAAACGGUGGGUACUAGGUGUGGGGUCCAUUCCACGGGUUCCGUGCCGUAGCUAACGCUUUAAGUACCCCGCCUGGGGAGUACGGCCGCAAGGCUAAAACUCAAAGGAAUUGACGGGGCCCCGCACAAGCGGCGGAGCAUGCGGAUUAAUUCGAUGCAACGCGUAGAACCUUACCUGGGUUUGACAUGGAUCGGGAGCGCUCAGAGAUGGGUGUGCCUCUUUUGGGGUCGGUUCACAGGUGGUGCAUGGCUGUCGUCAGCUCGUGUCGUGAGAUGUUGGGUUAAGUCCCGCAACGAGCGCAACCCUUGUUCACUGUUGCCAGCACGUUAUGGUGGGGACUCAGUGGAGACCACCGGGGUCAACUCGGAGGAAGGUGGGGAUGACGUCAAGUCAUCAUGCCCCUUAUGUCCAGGGCUUCACGCAUGCUACAAUGGCUGGUACAGAGAGUGGCGAGCCUGUGAGGGUGAGCGAAUCUCGGAAAGCCGGUCUCAGUUCGGAUUGGGGUCUGCAACUCGACCUCAUGAAGUCGGAGUCGCUAGUAAUCGCAGAUCAGCAACGCUGCGGUGAAUACGUUCCCGGGGCU
rnacentral:rRNA from 1 species